GAACCUAUCAGUGUCCUACUCCUUUGUGAUUGGUUAAUAUGGUUUAAGUCCUAUUAACCUAUCAGUGUUGGCAUUGAGAAUAUAAAAACAGAAGGGCUUGAUUGCUCAGGAUGCAUCAUCCUUGGUACUGGACCUUUCUGGAAGUACAUCAUUAUGAACAAGGGAUAGGGGUUGGUGCAUCCUCCUGUUGUUCUGUUUUAUCAGAUAGGCCUUUUUCAGCAUUCUAGUGGCCGUGGUCUUGCGUGGUGAGCGACUAUGCAUAUUGCUACAUGGUGUAAUUGCACAUCCAGAGGUUUCCAGUAACUUGAUUGGAGACUAACGUACAUCAGUGAUGUGACUGCACUGUUGCUUUGUUUUUAGUGUUUGUUGGGUGAUUGUUUUAACUUUGUCUUUCUUGGUCUUAUUUUGGUUAAUUUUGUUUGUAUGGGUUCCAUUUUUAGUUUUUUUUUAUUUUAUUUAGGUUUUUAUUCAUGAGCAGCCAUUCAUUAACGUGUGUUUGAAUUAUCUGGGAGGCAAGUAAGAUUUGGCCUUGGUCGGCCACUUGUUCCUCUUGUUGUUGCAUAUGACUGCUGAUUUUUAUUUUUUACAAGUAGUUAAAUCUGUGUGUGUGUGUGGGUGGGUGGUUGGGCUCCUUUUGGAGUAGAUUGUUCUGUUGUGGUAUGAAAGUGAGAAUUUUCUAUUUUUGAAUGUGUUAAUUGUUUUGAAGU